rnacentral:rRNA from 1 species
GAGUUUGAUCUUGGCUCAGAACGAACGCUGGCGGCAGGCUUAACACAUGCAAGUCGAACGCGUGUAGCAAUACACGAGUGGCGCACGGGUGAGUAACGCGUGGAUAUCUGCCUUUUUAGGUUCGGAAUAACCCCGGGAAACUGGGGCUAAUACCGGAUGGUUCCUACGGGAUAAAGAUUUAUCGCCAAAAGAUGAGUCCGCGUACGAUUAGCUAGUUGGUGAGGUAAUGGCUCACCAAGGCGACGAUCGUUAGCUGGUCUGAGAGGACGAUCAGCCACACUGGGACUGAGACACGGCCCAGACUCCUACGGGAGGCAGCAGUGGGGAAUAUUGGACAAUGGGGGCAACCCUGAUCCAGCCAUGCCGCGUGAGUGAU